rnacentral:lncRNA from 1 species
GAGGAGGCGGGCGGGCCAGUGAGGAGAGCGGAGAGAAAAGGCGCGAGCGGCCGAGAGGGCACGGGCCGGACACCUUGCUGCUGCCGCCGGCGCCGCCGCUGCGGCCGAGCCUCCCCUGAGCUUACUGAUCCAUCUCCAGGGCCACCGCCAUGUCCAGCCGGGGUGGGAAGAAGAAGUCCACCAAAACCUCCCGGUCCGCCAAGGCGGGCGUCAUCUUCCCCGUGGGCCGGAUGCUGCGGUACAUCAAGAAAGGCCACCCCAAGUACAGGAUUGGAGUGGGGGCGCCGGUGUACAUGGCCGCCGUCCUGGAGUACCUGACAGGUGAGUGCGCCUGCGUCACCGCGGACACCUCAGCUUGCCAGGAAUUGGUAGGAUCUUGUUGGUUUCCUUUGUUUUGAAAAUUUCCAAACCCAUGGAAGAGUUACCAAUACAGCGACAUUUUGCCCCAGAUUCAUCAGUUGUUAACAUUUUGCCUCGUUUGCUGUAUCUCCCUCCACCCUGUGUGUGGUGUGCACACAAGUGCACAUUUAUUUUUGGCUAUUGUCUCUUAUAUAGUCUGUUUGGAAAUUUCCUCAGUUGUCCCAAUAAUGUCCUUUAUGGUUUUGUUCCAUUUCUUUCUCAGUCCAGGAUUCAUUUCAGGAUCAUACAUGCAUUUGUCCCUCAGAUUUCUUUAGAUUUCUUUAAUCUAAAGCAUUUCUCCACCUUUUUUUUUUUUUUUUAAGUCUUUGAUGACUUGGACAUUUUGGAGAGCCCAGGUCAGUUGUUUUGCAGAACGCCCUUUAAUCUGGAUUGGUCUUAUGCUUGGGUUCAGGUUAAACGUUUUGAUCCGAGAAUUCCACAGCGGUGUUGGGUCCUUGUCUGGCGUCAUGUCAGGAGGCACCUGCUGUGGGUUUGUCCUGUCACUGGUGAUCUUUGCUCUGGUCCUGUGGUUAAAGUGGUGGCUGUGAGUCUUGCACAUCCUGGAUCACAGUCUUUUAUCCAGUGGCUUCGGUAUUGCCUGCUGAUCUUACUUGGUUCUCUUAGCACUGUGGUGAUUAUUAAAUAGGGUUUCCUUUUAUUAUUUCUACGUUUUUUGUUUCUUUUUCUUUUCUUUUUUUUCCUUGUCUUUUUACCUUUUCUAGGACCGCUUCCCAUGGCUUAUGGAGGUUCCCAGGCUAGGGGUCUAAGCGGAGCUGUAGCUGUCAGCCUCCGCUAGAGCCACAGCAAUGUGGGAUCCAAGCCGCAUCUGCGACCUACACCAUAGCUCACGGCAAUGCUGGAUCCUUAAUCCACUUAGCGAGGCCAGGGAUCGAACCUGCAACCUCAUGGUUCCUAGUUGGAUUCGUUAACCACUGCGCCACCACGGGAACUCUGUUUCUACGUUUAUUAGUUGGUAUUCUUCUGUUAAGAAGAGCUUUCCUCCUGCCCGUCCUGUUAUUUUUGGGACUGUCACUGUUGGUUCAUGGAUUUUUUAAAAAAUUAAGUGGGUCAUGCACUCUCCUGUCAUUACUCCUUAUGAUGCUCACAUUGUCUCACGUUUGACCUUCAAGCUGGUUUGUCUGUCCUUUUGCCGUCUCUCCGUCAGCUGCUGCUCCAUCCCUUUCCUUGUUUUCCGACACAGUGAGAUAUUCUCAUCUCCCCCUGCCCAAGUUUUGGAAUCAGCCUUCUCUGCAGGGGAAUCUUUGGGACCUUUCCCAGAUAUUGGUCUUAUUGGUGGCUGCAUAGCAACUGUGGGAGGCCAAACCCCCCUGCCCCCCAUUCUUAGAGAAGACGAGCCAAGGGCAUGGAAAGAUUUGCCUCGGGUCACAUCUAGCCAGGAAGGACCUGAGAAGGGGCGCACAUCCUGCUGUCCUGUUGUAAUGCCUUUACCGCUUUUCACUCCGUGCUCAGGGUAGGGGGCAGGCCGGGACAGCUGGCUCUCUGGCAACAAGGAGGAGAGACUCAGCAUCACAGGAUCCCUCUUCCAAAGGGAAGUGGUCCGGCAGCAGAAGAGCUGAGUCGCUGCUUGUUCUCCCAGGUUCUUUCCGGAAGACCCGGAUUUCCCCCACAGAGAACCCAGCCAUGACCCAGGGUUGUAACGUUUUUGUGUCCUGUCGAAAGCGUCCAGGCACCAGAAGUAACUGGGGUUAUGGUUUGUGAGGCCUCGACGCAUAUUUGGAACCUUGACUCUCUGCUGGUCAGAGACUCUUAGAGGAGGCGUGCCCAGAAGCGUGGGCUGGCCUGAUUCUCCUCACGCUGCAGAUGGGAGACAGAGGCCUGGGAUUUCCUUGGCAUCACCCGGAAAACCGUGUGUGACCCUGCCCGUCAGCCAGGGGGACCAGGGGAGAAGUCAUGAGGAUGGAGGACAUUUUUUAGGUCUGGGCUGGCAGUUUACAUGCUGUGUGACCCAGCACGAGUCACUUAACCUCUCUGGACCCCAGUUUCCUUACAGCUCACAUGGAGACAACGGUGCCCGCUCCACCAGCUCCAGGCCACUGUGAGAGCAGAAGGGCUUUGUUUGAGCAUAAUGGGGAAGCUGCCGCGAUGUGCAAACCCAGCCAGCCGCGGUUUCUGGUUCCCGAGUGUUGCGGUGGUCGUGGCACUGGGGUGACGCCGGGGUGUUCAUGGACACGUUCACGAGGUCAAGUACAGCAACAGUUGCACUUCUUCCCUCAAGCCUCCUCUUUUUAGUUUGCAGGAUGUAGGGUGGGGGAUGCCGCUGCCCCAUCGUGUCUGAAGCAGCUACUUCCUGUGCUGGACGAAAAAUCUGUACGUGUGCCUUGUCUGUGCCCAACUGGCUCUGAAACUGAACACAGCAGUUCAGGUCAGCGGGUCUGUUCGUGGCGCCAGGCACCUUGACCCUGCACCCCACCCACCAUGCCACCCUCGCCCCCUCCCCCCCGCCGUCUUGGGUGCACUGGUGAUCCCAGAGGCCGUGGGAGGGGUCAAGGCAGCCCAGCACUGGAGCUGGACAAGUCGCUUGAGGCAAAUCCUUACUCCGCUGGCGUUAGCCGUGUUUACCCCUGUGUGGUGAAGAGUCAUCUGUAUUUUAAAGCUUUACCAAGUCCUUGCGGCAGAGCUAGAGUUAGUGAAUUGGAGCCAUUUCCUCUGCUUACACACGGUGCUAAGUCAUUGACAUGCCUGUUGCCCGGUGCCUGGUCCCGCAGGAUGGGCCUUGGGGGAUCACUGCUCUGGUCACUUGUGUCCUGUUGCCUGAUGGGACGGGAGGUGAGCCCUGGGCCAUGUCCGAGGAAAGCACUGUCGCGUUGCCCCGUCAGAGCAGGGCUGCACGCCUGCGCCGGCUGCGCCUGGCAGCGAUGUGCCUGAGCCCCUUGGGCCGGGAUGUGGGAGCACGUGGAUAGUGGGAAGUCCUGGGCGUCUGCCUGCGAGAAGUCAAGGGGGACAGGCUUUCUUUCUGCUAUUUGCUUUUGUUUCACUGAAGACGCUAUUCCACGUGCUUACCAAGCCCCCGCUUGGUAGGGCCCCGCUUGGUAAGACCCCGCUGUGGUCCGGCCCCUUGCCGGCCUCUGUAGGAGAGCAUAGGAAUGGUGGGGGCAGAAAUGGUCUCUGCUCCAUGGAGCUCACGGUAGGUAGCUGGGGAGAAAGAACCAACCAGCCCAGGUGGUUACUGACUCUGCUGAGACACCACAGGGGCCCCGGAGGGCUUCUUUGAUGAGGAGACCGUGCCGACCAGCCCUGCGAGGGCUGGUCAAGGGGCUCGUCCAGCCACUCACCUGCGUGCCACGCACCUCUUGCUUCUUCCUAGAGCUUGGAGAAGAUCUGGGAAGAGGGAGCAGCCAGGGGAGCAGCCCUCACUCAGCUUAGGGCCCAGACAUCGUGCUUGAACGCAGGGCAUCUGCGGGCAGUACCACCCAUUCAGCAGGUCCUCAUUGAGAGCUGCAGCGUGUCCAGCAUGGGGAUACCAGCCAGCGCAUGACCUCUCCCCAGCCCAGAGAGCUUGUCCAGAAACAGGCAUAGGCAAGAAAAAGGCCGUGAUGGUGCAGGACUGCAUGUGCUGAGACUGGGUCUUCUCAGAAAAUGGUCCCUGGUGGAUGCUUGUUAACCGCUUCCCUAGAGCCACCUUGCUUUUCCAGUUGUCACUUGAAGGGCCCUGCAGAGGCCUUGUUUUCUUCCCUCACACGUGGCACACACAUUUGCAGGCCUGGUCGUGGGAUGACACACGACGUUCUUUUGGAGUGGCUGGGCCAGGCCUCCUCCUGGCAGAAGGCCCCAGGCGGGUGAUGAGGAGGGAUCCGGACAUUCAAGCGCUGCUGAGCUGCAGGGCCCACCUAGGACUAGGCAGCUCUGGAGCGGGGAGCUGACGCCUCCUUGGUGGGCAGUCCUGGGGACCACUUGGGGCCCAGGAUGCUCAGUGGAAGUCAGGUGGAGGCAGCAGAACUGGGUAGUAAGAGUGUGGACCUGGUGUCACAGCUGCUGUUUCUUCCUCGUGGCCUUAGACAAGUCACAUCUCCAGGCUGCAGUGUUAUCAUCUGUGAGAUGGGGUGCCAGUAACUGUGUGCUAGGGUUAUGAUGAGGUUGACACGAGAGGCUGCGUGUGAGGGCUUUUCCAUGCCUGCAGCAGUGUAGGUGCCCAAAUGCUAGCUGUUAACCUCGGGUGAAAGCAGAGCGGGAGUUCCUAGGAACCCUGCUUGGCUGUGAGGUGGUGGGGGUCGCCCCCUUCCCUUAGGGUGGGGAUGGGAGCUGUCACUGCCCGCUCAUGCCUCUUGUCCUUUCAGUUGGUCACAACCCCCUGGGCCUCACUAGGCACCUACAGAAAUGGCUCUUUCAGGCCCACGCCCUCUGGUUUAUUCAGACUGCCGUUUGACUCCCCCUAAAGCUUGUAUCACCCUCAACACCAAGACGCCAUGUUACCAGAUGCUUCUGUCUGGUGUCACAGGCAGCUUCGGUCCUGAGCUCCUGGCACAUGCGUGAAAACCUUGAAGGUUUUUUUGGUUGGCUAGUGACUGAGCAUGCCGAGGCCCGGGCCUGUGUUGGGCCAGGGCUGAGGUCUGUCCAGCACGAGAACAUCUGGACAGGCAGCUGCCCUGCAGACCAGGGGCCGUCAGAGCCCAGAUAGACGAUCCCCUGUGAAGAAUAUGCCUUUGGCGGGGAGGGACCACGCACGUACCCCUCCCCAGGGGCUGUUCGAGGCUGGGGAGGACGGGGGAGGGCAUGGUGGCCUCGCAUCCUGCUCUGAAGCUUGAAACUGGCAUCUGUUUCUCCUCUUGGGUGCAGAGCCCAAUUGCUGCUGAACUUGAAGGGAAAAGGCAACAUCUGGAGUAGGCUUGAGUCUGGCGAGCAGGCAGCUCCUUCCCCACAUCUCCGUGCACCUGCUGCCUCUUUAUGGAAUUCCUCCUGAGGAAUGUGGUGCUGUCCUCUGGUCUUCUCAGAGCCCCAGGACCCUGGGGCCUGACUCUCUGCUCCACCCCUUGGCCCUUGACCUUCCAGCCUAGGCAGUGACAGCAGCACGGCCUCUUGGGAUUGCUGUGAAGUGUGAUACUGUACCUGGUGACUUUAGCCAGCACUCCUAGUAAGCACGCAAUCAGUGAUGGAUAAAAAUAGAUAUUAUUGUGGAGGAAACUGAGGUAGUUUCUUUGAGGCAUCAUCUUUGCCCCCAUAUUACUCUGGUACUUUUUCCUUAAAUGGUAUGUAAUGGGAACUUGAGUUCAGCUCCGAAAGCCUCUGGGGAGUCUCUGCCCUGUGCCCAGCCCAGCACUGCUUGGUGCUAGAAGAUGUAAGAGACGUGAAAUAAGGAAAAUGUGUUAUGGCUUUUGCCCCAGUGGAAUAUCCAUUGAUGUUGGGGACACACAAGCCCUCAGCCCAGUAAGGUGGCAGGGCAGGUCUAAGGGACAGGUUCCAAGCACUCAGGCCGUCCGAUGUCCCCAAAUGAGAGGCGUGUGGAAGAGCAGAGAGCAAGCGCGCUGUGAUCCGAUGGGUGCAGAGUGUUGGGGUCAGCCUUGCGCACCUUGUGCUCAGCAGAACCGCAGUGUCUGGUGAAGUUUAAGAGGCAGACCACCAAAACAGGGCUCAGGGGCUGAGGCUGGAUUACGGCUAGAGUCCCUUCCCGCUUCUGAGGUGGACAGAGGAAUAACUUUGUUGAGUGCCUCAGUAAAGCCACUUGCUUUAGUUUGGGAACCAUCGAGCCACAGCUUUUUCCUGCAGGACUUUUCAGAGCCUUUAACAUACUCGUGUCUUCCUAAGUCCCCCAGGGAAGGAACUGUGAUGGGUAGUGGUUGCCCACCUUUUAUCAGAAAGCCUUUCAAGGAGCACCUGUCAACACCCCGCACAAGAUAGUGUGGGGAUACGUGUGGCUUAGGCCGCGAGAAGCGGCACUGGGGCAGUGCCAAGUGAAGCAGCAAAGCGGAGGCCACCACGAACGGCGCUCUCCGGUCUGGCGCAGGGCGUGGAGGCGGGGGCUUGGCCGGUAACGAUGGAGGCCUGGCUCUGCUCUCUGCGUACAGGGCCAACACAUUAGAAGGUGCUCCAGCACUCGAGCAGUGAGGCUGUGGCUCGGGAAAGCCGCGGGCUUCUUCGGAGCCAAGCCACUCACGCGCUGCCUCAGGAAGCGCGCACCACUCUCCAGGUCCGUGCUCCUCCCUGGAACGCCGGACAGAGCUUCCUGCCCACGGGGCUCACCCGGGAGGGAAGAGCCUUUGGAGCCACUCACCCAACCCCGGAGAGAACAGGCCUGGUUCCUGGCCAUCGCAUCCAAAAAGGGCUCUGACACCUUUUUCUUUUUUUGGUCCAGAAACCCUGUUUCAUAGCUUGAUCACACGCCUCAUCCUGCCAGCUGGCCUCCUAGGAUAGAAGCCUGUUUGCAGAAAUCUAACCCCGUUCUCAGAGGAUUCCUCCGCAGUGAGGGGUGUGGGAAGCCCUGGCUGCCAGCUCUGCAGGCUGAGUGUUGAUGCCUUGGAACCAGUGUAGACCCUCCCGAGGUGGCCGCCGUGAGCGGUCUGAAGUGCACACGCAAGCUCUGGUCUGGCUGCAGUAUUAGGUUUCCACCGCUUCCAGGAUAAGGCCGUGGCUCGAAUCAUUUUUUUCUGUCUUCUCUGGAUCUGAUAUAUGAAAUAAUGAAGAUGUUUAUCCCGGUUUUCGUAUCCUUAACCCCCACUUCUUUUCCGGAUGCUCAAGCCCUCUCCCUCCUCAUCCCCGUCCGUGUUUGACACCUAGGCCUUCCCUCUCCUGCCUCUUCUCAGUGACCAGGACCUCCCUCCGCAGUCCUCUAAAGGCCCCUGGCAUCCCCUCGCAGCAGGAGCUCUACCCGAAGCUGCCUGCGGGUAUUUCACUAACCACGGUGAAGUUUGCAGGGCCAGCUCCUGGCCUGGGGAACAGACAGGGACCACCUAGGGGACCGUUACGGGCUCACACUGUACAGAUGGAUGAGGCCCCACCCUUGCGUCCGACGCAGCCUGUCGUAGAACCCCAGGGAAAGGGACGGCUGUGAAACAUGCCCUGCCACCUGAUUUUCGCUGCUAAGAGGAUCGUCUUGUUUGGCUUCUGCUCUGUAGCUCAGGUUGGACGUUGCAUAUCCCCUUGGGGUGAGUUACUGGCUGCCCUCCACUCCCACCCUGUGUCUUGCAAGUGUCGUAUGUGAAGGCCGUCUCUGUCAGCACUAGGUCCUCUUGCACGGAUGCUCAUUCCAAUAAACAGCCAUCACCCUGGGCAUUUCUGGCCUGGGAAAGAAAGGCCCCGAUGAGCUGGGAAGAUUAGGGUGGACAGAGCCUGCCUUUGGCUGUGUCACUUCCCUGGCGUCUUUACUGCUUUCCUGUCUGGGACACCCAAGUGUGUCCUGGGCUCAUGCAGCUCAAAAUAGGGCAGGAAGCGGAGGACAGACCGGCUCUGUGGUGCUCCGAGGCCCUCUGAGUGCCUACGUCUCUUGCUCAUUUGUGCGACCACCCUACCGGGGACUGGCGUGACCGGCUGGGACCCAGCUAACUCCUGCCAGGGACUUCAUGCUUCCCUUGGGCUCUCAGGACCGCUCAGUGCUCACAGUUCUGCAAAGCCCUUCACCAGCUGGAAGGGAGGACACGAUGUUAAUGAACCUGAGGGAAGUUGGAAGCACUCAAGUUGAAACUGCAGUGUACUGGGUAUCCACUGUGUGCAGACGUAUUUGUGUGUGUGUGUGCGUGCGUGUGCGUGCGUGCGCAGACUGUAUUUAAAUACAUGUUCCCUCUUCUAGUUCUGAGGCCUAAAUGCCUCUUGUGUGUGCGUGUACAUGUAUGAGAGUUAGAUUUUAGUCUGUUUUUAUUAAGAUCUGCUGUUGGUCAUCUUCACUGAUGGCCAGUCGCAGAAAACCUCACUGUGCCUGAUCCUUCCGAGCAAAUCAUGACAUGAUGAAGGGAGCGUGACACUUGUCAGGCCCCCUCAGCCUCCCAGGAGGAGGGGAGGACUCCGUGGUGGAUGCACAUUCAGGGGGACCUGGAAUAAGCAGCAGUUUAGCACGCCAGGCCGGUGGCCUUUCCCUGUCACCUUGUCAGACGGCCAGCCUGUUAGCAGACCCAGGUGGGUCAGACCUCGGGGCCGAGGCCAGACCCGGAAGCCACCAUGGGCUGGCAUUUCCCCCCGUGCUUCACUUCCCCACCAAGAUGUGGAGAUGGCAGCAUGGCUUAAGGGUCUGCUUCUCCCAGAGCCCCAUAAACCUGCUACAGAGCUCGAAAAUGUAUUUUUUUCCUGCAUCUUCAUCCAGUCUUUCUAAAGAGGCCAUGAGGUUGUCCAGGAGAGUGUAAAUAGGCCCUGGUCCUGCUUCUCAAAACGAUGGCCCCAUGUCCCCUGCUUUGCCCCAGGGGUUAGACCACAUCACUUGGAUCAGAAAAAGGAACCUCCUCAUUGCUUGCUUUUGCAAAUAUUUUCGCCUGCUCUGUGACUUACCUUCUUACUCUCAAAAUAUCUUUCACAGAGCAGAAGCUUUACAAUUUUAACGAAGUCCAACGUUCAGUUCUUUCUUUCAUGAAGAAUUUGGUGUUGUGCCUUUGGUGUCAUGUCUAAAAAGUCAUCUUUAGGGGAACCUGUUGUGGGGGCAGCAGGUUAAGGAUCUGACAUUGUCUCUGUGGUGGAGUGGGCUCAGUCCCCAACCUGGAGCAGUGGGUUAAGGAUCUGGCAUUGCCACAGCUACGGCGUCGCUUGCAGCUGUGGCUUGGAUUCUCUCUCUAGCCCAAGAACUUCAUACGCCACGGGUAUAGCCAAAAAAUUAAAAAAAAAAA